rnacentral:rRNA from 1 species
UACGUAGGCAGCAAGCGUUGUUCGGAGUUACUGGGCGUAAAGAGUGCGUAGGCGGUGCUCCAAGUCUGUUGUGAAAUCUCCCGGCUUAACUGGGAGGGUGCGGUGGAAACUGGGGUGCUUGAGUAUGGGAGAGGUAAGCGGAAUUCCUGGUGUAGCGGUGAAAUGCGUAGAUAUCGUAAGGAAGACCAGUGGCGAAGGCGGGUCUCUGGACAGUUCCUGACGCUGAGGCACGAAGGUCAGGGGAGCAAACGGG